rnacentral:lncRNA from 1 species
CAUAUAUAUAAUAUACCUAUAAUAUACCUAAUAUAAUAUUGCCAACACACACACACAGACACAUGCACACACACAUAUAUAUAUAUAAUAUACCUAAUAUAAUAUUAAUAAAGUUCGGUUCGGGAUCGGGAAUACCGAAAAUUUCAAAUUGUAAUACCGAUCCCAUACCGAACAAUUCGGGAUCGGUUCGGUUUCGGUACUAAAAUUUUCGGGAUUUUUGGUUCGGUAUUUUUUCGGUUUGGUUUCGGUAUGGUUUCGGUAUGGUUCGGGAUUUUUGGUAUUUUUUUCCAGCCCUAGUGAAACAUUGUUUGAGAAACGUUUUGGGCCUCAUUACAAUUUUUUUCACAUAUUUUUUAAGUUUCGGUUUAAAUAUUCUACUAUAAAUACAUUUGUGGCUUUAAUAACUGGUAAAACCACUUUCAAAUAUCUUGUUAAGUUUUUCUUAACGUCAUGGAUUUUUUUUUACGAAAAUGAAACAUUUGCAUUUUUCACAAAAAAAAAUGUGGUUUGUCAAUUUUGUAAAUUUGUAUAAAAAUCUUCAUUAAGUCCAUUUGUUUUCACAUUCACCUUACAAUGAGGCACUUAAAAUUAAUUUAUAACUUUCCAUCGAUACUUGAGUAUAGACCCUUGUUAAGGCAAAGAGUUGGGCUUCACUACAAUUUUUUUUCAUUUAUUUUUUAGGUUUCGUGUCACAUCUUGCCCUGGCCCCCA